rnacentral:rRNA from 1 species
CAACGUCGAGGAUGGCCAAACUGUGACCGGUGCCCGCUUUGCAAUCAGGUACAAGAAUCAGCAGCCCACAUCAUUUUCAAGUGUAGGUUCUCGCUCCGGGUUUGGGAUGAGGUGUUCGCCUGGCUCGGGCUUGCUAUUCCCAUGGCUAGUUGGCACCAAUUCAGCACUGUUAAAUCAUGGUGGGAUGAGCUACUCUCGAACAACACCCAACCGGUUAAGGCCUUAUCUUCUCUUCUACUCCUUGUGGGGUGGGAACUUUGGAAGGAACCGAAUGCGCGCGUCUUCAGGAGCAAAGCGGCACCGGUGGUGAUCGUCAUAUGGAUCAUCAAAGAAGAAAUGUCUAUUUGGGCUAUUGCGGGCACCAAGCAAUUGAGCAAUGUAAUGCUGCAAGAGUAA